rnacentral:sRNA from 1 species
AUUAAGGCGAGUAUGGAGAAAGAUGCGUGAUGAAGAAAGAAGACGCGAGAAAGGGAAAAAGGAACUCCACAGACGCCAGAGUAAACAGGCAAAGCGCAUUAGAGAUAAAUUAAAGAUGAGAUGCACUCAGCUGAAAAAUGAUGCCAUCUACAAGAAAAAGGACCGAAAGAAGAUCAGAAAAUGCCUAACCAAGGAGGCCACAUCUCCAGAAGUGACAGACGAAGAUGAACCAACACAGCGUGUUGUGAUUCCCUUUGUGUGGGAAUCAAGUCUUCUCGGGCAAUCAAGUGUGAUCUGGACAGAGGAUACAGCGAUUCUCUCGGGAUUCAACAAAGGAGGCAGAAGUCUAAAGUGA